GGCCAACCUGUAUAAUUGGCGCCAAAUAUGUUGAACCUGAUCCAUUCUAAUUGAUCAUACAAUUCUGUCGGUCAACAAUCGCGGUCUACCUAACCGUCGCUAUAUUCGGUUCAUAACUAACAGUCGAGCUAAGCAGCUCUGGAGCUGACUGCUUGGUGAACUAAAGACCGAAAACGCCCACCCCGAGAAAAAAUCAGUUACUCGUCUUUCUUUACAUGGACUAUUCCAAACCCAAUGCCCAGUUUUUCGAAUGGAAAACAAUAAUCAAUCUCCGCCGACUACUUCGGCUGCUUCGAGCUCGCCGUCAACGGACUCAACCAGAAACGGAGAAGAUUUUGGUGUUUCAUCAACGUCGUCGACGAAUUCGCAGGUGCAAGAGGAGGAGACAGCCGCUGCCGAAGAGGAAGCGGAGGGUAACGGACUAAGAUAUCCGGAGCUGAUACAGCAGAGGACGAGCUUGUCCUAUAACGCAUAUUCAAUGGUAACGGAGAACGCACAUGAUGUUGUGGGACGGAUGAGAGGCGACUCGUUGUCUUGCUUUGUCGUUAUCCUCGCCUACUGGUUCUUCGUAUCUAUGACUAUGAUAAUGGGAGUAUAUGGUCCUGCAAGUUUAUUGCUCGGACCGUACUCUUCGAUCCUGAUAAAGCCUAAUUCCUUUUUCGUGGAGUAUGUAAAGAUAGCGGAAAUUCACGAGGCAGCUAAUGGAGUUAUGCUAUAUGGAUUCCACAAAGACCCACCACUGGAUGUUGUAACCUCCUGGUCUGAGACUCAUAAAACCACUCUCUUCUCCCGCAAUCACAAGGAAUGGAUAUAUUUCUUAAAUGAAGGAUCUCAAGUAAAUGUUUCAUACGAUGUUAACUCUCCAAGCUCCUCUUCUUUAGUCUUUGUAAUUGCCCAAGGUAGUGAAGGUCUUAAUCAGUGGCUUGAGGACCCAUCAUACCCGAAUUCCACCUUAUUAUGGCAAAUUAUACGAGGCAGUGGCCUGAUCCAGCAGGAUAUAUUAACAUCCUCUAAUUACUAUGUUGCAAUUGGUAACUUGAAUGCUGAAGCAGUGGAGGUGCAGUUGAAUAUGAGAUUAAAGACUUAUCUAUAUAAUACAACUGGGGCUUACUACCAGUGUGGUCUUACUGAAAGUGGAUGUAGUUUUAAACUCUCGUUUACUGGUGGACAUAAUGCUCUUCUAACCUCUCCUGCUCCAACACCCGGUAGAGGAAAUAACGAGUCCCAUGUGAAUCUCUCCUAUGGGCCCAGAUGGGUGACAUAUGUUGUGGGCAUAGGUGGAAUGACAAUUCUCAUGUUAGUGGCCUUCCACUUCUUCAUCCAUCGCCGGUGCACAAAUCAAGAUGGAAGUAGAAUUCGAUCUGGAGAAACAGGAUCUGCGAGGACCCCUCUGCUUGAAAACAAAGAUGAUGAUAUCUCGUGCUGGGGUUCCUCGUAUGAUUCUGUCUCACAAGAUGAUGUGGAUGCUGAAGAGGGGCAGGCAGCGGGUUCACUUGAGGGUACAUCAGCAAAAGAUGGUGAAUACAAUAAUAAUAUCCGACGUCUAUGUGCAAUAUGCUUUGAUGCUCCUAGGGACUGUUUCUUCCUUCCAUGUGGGCAUUGUGUGGCUUGUUUCGCAUGUGGCACGAGGAUAGCAGAGGCUGCCGGUGCUUGUCCUAUCUGUCGUAGAAAUAUGAAGAAAGUCAGGAAGAUAUUCACAGUUUGAGCAGCUAAGCAAUCAUGUCACAUUUACGCUGCCUUCUGCACAUAUCACGAUGUUGAACCAAAUGCUAUGUUCACCAAGAAUUUGAUAAUUAACAGACUAGAAAAUUUUGGAUGACAAGUUUCCAAUGACGCACGAGAGUGCUGGCCUCUUGACAUACUCUUUGAACAUGUUAUAGUGGAGCUUGCUACAGCUUCACAGUCGUGUUCUUUCCCCUGCCUACACUGAUUGAAAUACACAGUCGAGAGUACUUUACGAGAACUACAGCUUCUUAUACAUUAAAUUCCCGAUUUAGAGCUUGCAAAGGGGAGAAAAUUCUCUUGUGUCUUGUUAAACUUCUGUGAUGCCUGGUCAAGUCUCAAUUCUUCUAUUACUAUUUGUCAAAAACUUUAUUUGCAUGAUUCAUCAAUGCAUUUUUCAAUCUCAUAUAUAUCAAAAAAGGGUGAAUUUCUCA